rnacentral:rRNA from 1 species
AUUGAACGCUGGCGGCAGGCCUAACACAUGCAAGUCGAACGAGUGGCGGACGGGUGAGGAAUGUCUGGGAAACUGCCUGAUGGAGGGGGAUAACUACUGGAAACGGUAGCUAAUACCGAAUACCGUCGGAGGUGCACAGAGUGGAUUAGCUGGUAGGGGGGGUAAAGGCUCACCUAGUCGACGAUCCCUAGCUGGUCUGAGAGGAUGACCAGCCACACUGGAACUGAGACACGGUCCAGACUCCGACGUGAGGCAGCAGUGGGGAAUAUGGCACAAUGGGCGCAAGCCUGAUGCAGUCAUGCCGCGUGUACGAAGAAGGCCUUCGGGUCGUAAAGUACUUUCAGUGGGGAGGCGGUACCCGCAGAAUAAGCACCGGCUAACUCCGUGCCAGCAGCCGCGGUAAUUC